CCUCACCCGAGCGUGGCGAGGCUGGCCAGCCCGGAGCAGAGCCUUCCCGGGGCAGCUGGGGGCACGUCCGCAGGGCGGGGGACAUGGGGUGCCCAGGGCCGGAGCCGGGCCGUGGGGCAACCUCUGCCUCAUUCUCUGCCGCUGCCCAGCAGCAGCACACACGCUGGUCUGUGUGCCAAGGGGUGCCUGACGCCACAGCUUCGGACCGCGACACUCGGCCUGCGUUUCAGGUUACGCAUGACACAGAAAGGGCUUCCCACCCCAGAGUGGACCCAGAACUGAAGUAACAUGUCGAAACUGCCCUGCUGGGGUCGCUCAGUCGCUUAGUCAUGUCCGACUCUUUGCGACCCCAUGGACUGCAGCACGCCAGGCUUCCCUGUCCUUCACCAUCUUCCUGAGUUUGCUCAGAUUCAUGUCCAUUGAGUUGGUGAAGCCAUCCAACCAUCUCAUCCUCUGUUGUCCCCGUUCUCCUCCUGCCUUCAAUCUUUCCCAGCACCAGGGUCUUUUCCACUGAGUUGGCUCUUCGCAUCAGGUGGCCAAAGGAUUGGAGCUUUGACUUCAGCAUGUCAUGAGAAACUUGAAACAGAAAGUUCUCAACUGGGAAAAACCAGAAUUCUUCUCCUGAAGAGAUGUUGUCCCCCAGGCAAUGUUGCGCAGAAAAGAAUUUGGCUGGAGCUCUUUUUUUCCCCAUGGUGACUCCAUUCACAUUAGAAUUAUGUCCUUUUUCAAAAGAAGAUUCCUUGUGAUUGUUGACAAUUUUAAAAGGGGAUUGCUUUUCGAGACACUUGUGGGUCUUGUGUAAAUAUUCUUUCUUCGGAAAUAGAUGUACUAACCGUAAAAGUUGGUAAAAGGUCCUCCUCUAGCAAUGCAAAUGCAAAUUAGAUGUUAGAAAAAUACAAGAUUCUGGACUUAAAGAUGUAUAUACAUAUAAACUUAAUAAAUUAUAUGUGUAUACACACGCACUGUAUAUCACAUAUACACACUCAUCAUAUAUUACCUGUGUACUUCAGUUAUGUAUCUUCAUCUAGAAUGUGUAUGAACUAUCACACCCAGACGUUUCUGGUCCUCCAGUCUGGACGCUGCCCACCCCCUCCCUGGUGGGGAGGCCCCCCUGCUUCUGGAAGUGCCUCCACUGUUCACACCCAGGCCCAGCCUGAGCGCGUCCCAGCCUCAGUCUUCAUCUCUCAGAUCCUGCCCUGAGCUUAUCUCCUCCUCUGACUCAGACCCUGUGACACAGGGCACCAGCCACUGGCUUCUGCGUCUUAGCCGUGCUGGGCCCAAG
ensembl:lncRNA